rnacentral:rRNA from 1 species
CCUGAAUCCAGCCAUACCGCGUGGGGUGAAGAAGGCUUCGGGUUGUAAAGCCCUUUUGUUGGGAAAGAAAUCCAGCCGGCUAAUACCUGGUUGGGAUGACGGUACCCAAAGAAUAAGCACCGGCUAACUUCGUGCCAGCAGCCGCGGUAAUACGAAGGGUGCAAGCGUUACUCGGAAUUACUGGGCGUAAAGCGUGCGUAGGUGGUUGUUUAAGUCUGUUGUGAAAGCCCUGGGCUCAACCUGGGAACUGCAGUGGAAACUGGACAACUAGAGUGUGGUAGAGGGUAGCGGAAUUCCCGGUGUAGCAGUGAAAUGCGUAGAGAUCGGGAGGAACAUCCAUGGCGAAGGCAGCUACCUGGACCAACACUGACACUGAGGCACGAAAGCGUGGGGAGCAAACAGGAUUAGAUACCCUGGUAGUCCACGCCCUAAACGAUGCGAACUGGAUGUUGGGUGCAAUUUGGCACGCAGUAUCGAAGCUAACGCGUUAAGUUCGCCGCCUGGGGAGUAC